UGUGUGUUCACGAACCAACGGCAAGCUGG
rnacentral:piRNA from 1 species